rnacentral:rRNA from 1 species
GACGAACGCUGGCGGCGUGCCUAAUACAUGCAAGUCGAACGCUUCUUUCCUCCCGAGUGCUUGCACUCAAUUGGAAAGAGGAGUGGCGGACGGGUGAGUAACACGUGGGUAACCUACCCAUCAGAGGGGGAUAACACUUGGAAACAGGUGCUAAUACCGCAUAACAGUUUAUGCCGCAUGGCAUAAGAGUGAAAGGCGCUUUCGGGUGUCGCUGAUGGAUGGACCCGCGGUGCAUUAGCUAGUUGGUGAGGUAACGGCUCACCAAGGCCACGAUGCAUAGCCGACCUGAGAGGGUGAUCGGCCACACUGGGACUGAGACACGGCCCAGACUCCUACGGGAGGCAGCAGUAGGGAAUCUUCGGCAAUGGACGAAAGUCUGACCGAGCAGCGCCGCGUGAGUGAAGAAGGUUUUCGGAUCGUAAAACUCUGUUGUUAGAGAAGAACAAGGACGUUAGUGACUGAACGUCCCCUGACGGUAUCUAACCAGAAAGCCGCGGCUAACUACGUG